UACGUAGGGGCCAAGCGUUGUCCGGAAUUAUUGGGCGUAAAGAGCUCGUAGGCGGGUUUGUCGCGUCUGCUGUGAAAACUCGGGGCUUAACCCCGGGCCUGCAGUGGGUACGGGCAGACUAGAGUGCGGUAGGGGAGACUGGAAUUCCUGGUGUAGGCGGUGGAAAUGCGCAGAUAUCAGGAGGAACACCGGUGGCGAAGGCGGGUCUCUGGGCCAAAGCACGUG
rnacentral:rRNA from 1 species